GAUGAAGAACGUAGUGAAAUGCGAUAAGUAGUGUGAAUUGCAGAAUUUAGUGAAUCAUCGAAUCUUUGAACGCACAUUGCGCCCUUUGGUAUUCCUUAGGGCAUGCCUGUUCGAGCGUCAUCUACACCCUCAAGCACAGCUUGGUGAUGGGCGCCUGUCCCGCCCCCCACGGGGGCGCGGACUCGCCUCAAAUGCAUUGGCGGCCGGCGACCUGGCUUCGAGCGCAGCAGAAACGCGUACUCGGGGACCGGGCGCCCGCUCCCAGAAGCCAACCCACCCAGUUUGACCUCGGAUCAGGUAGGGAUACCCGCUGAACUUAAGCAUAUCAAUAAGCGGAGG
rnacentral:misc_RNA from 1 species